rnacentral:rRNA from 1 species
UUCAACAACUAAGAAUAUUCCGCAAUGGUCGAAAGACUGACGGAGCGACGCCGCGUGAAUGAUGAAGGCCGUGAGGUUGUAAAGUUCUUUUCUGGAGGGAGAAUAAGUGCAUCAGGGAAUGGGUGCAUGAUGACGUGAAUCCAGGAAUAAGCCCCGGCCAACUACGUGCCAGCAGCCGCGGUAACACGUAGGGGGCAAGCGUUGUUCGGAAUUAUUGGGCGUAAAGGGCGCGCAGGCGGCCUGGCAAGUCUGCUGUUAAAUGGUUGAGCUUAACUCAAUCAUGCGGUGGAAACUACAAGGCUAGAAUCAACGAGGGGAUGCCGGAAUUCCAGGUGUAGGGGUGAAAUCUGUAGAUAUCUGGAAGAACACCAAUGGCGAAGGCAGGCAUCUGGCGACUGAUUGACGCUGAGGCGCGAAGGUGCGGGGAGCAAACAGGUUUAGAUAUCCUGGUAGUCCGCACAGUAAACGAUGUGCACCAGGUGGCGGGUAGCAGUACUCGGUACCGAAGCAAACGCAUUAAGUGCACCGCCUGGGGAGUAUGCUCGCAAGGGUGAAACUCAAAGGAAUUGACGG